AUACCUUUCUCGGCCUUUUGGCUAAGAUCAAGUGUAGUAUCUGUUCUUAUCAGUUUAAUAUCUGAUACGUGGUCCAAUGGAUCACACGAUAUUAAAUUAAUUUUUCAAGGGGGAAGCCCAUCACGGUAGCUUGCUACUGGUGGUUCCGCGCGUCGCCUGUGCGUUGCACUACUGUACGGGCUAGGCGCACCCUAC